UGGUAAGAAGAAGAAGAAAGAAAUUUCUUCUUCAUUUAAAAAUGCUAACAUCAUCUCUAAAGGAUCUUAUAAAAUUAAAACUGCUAAUGUCGAAACUGAGAAAGAAAAGGAGUGUUAUUUUUGCAAAGAAACAGGUCACUUAAGAAAGAAUUGCAAUGGCUUCAAGAAUUGGCUUGUUAAGAAAGGGCUUCUCAAAAACAAGGGUGAUAAACAAUGAAGUCUACAAUGUCUAUGUGGGGAAUGGGAGCAAAGUUGCUGUCGAAUCCAUAGGAAGUGUCAAAUUAGUUCUUUCCUCUAGCUUUAUUUUAGAAUUAAGUCCAGUACUUUAUGUACCUUCCAUGCGAAGGAAUUUAAUUUCUGCAUCUAAGUUAGUUAAGUCCGGCUUUACAUUUGUGGGUGACAGUCAAAGUGUAAAGUUUUUCCAUUCAAAUGACUCGAAUAAAUUGCUUGGUGAAGCUAAUCUCAAA